AGAGAAAGACACAUGGCCCUAAAAUAACUUCAUUCUGCAUGUGGUCUAAGAGGCGCACACGUUUAGUCCACAUCCGGGUUUAUUCGCCUGAAGAUCUCCUUAUAACAGGACUCAGCCACCAUGGAUCCAUUGGACUACCAAAGACUCCAGGAGGUACCAGCAUCAUUGCAGAAAGGCUCUGAAACUGGAAAUGAAGAUGUGGUGAUAUCACAUGUCACGUGUAAGAACGUGAUUGGACAGAGUUCGCAGCAUACGCAGAAAUGACAGCAUGAUCCAGAAACUAGAGGAACGAGAUGAACUACAACAUUGGCAACAGGGAGUUGCUUGCUGUCAAGAUGGUGCUUGAAGAAUGGAGACGUGGUUUGG